rnacentral:rRNA from 1 species
GAUGAACGCUGGCGGCGUGCCUAACACAUGCAAGUCGAACGAAGCACCUUACCUGAUUCUUCGGAUGAAAGUUUGGUGACUGAGUGGCUGACGGGUGAGUAACGCGUGGGUAACCUGCCCUGUACAGGGGGAUAACAGCUGGAAACGGCUGCUAAUACCGCAUAAGCGCACGAGGAGACAUCUCCUUGUGUGAAAAACUCCGGUGGUACAGGAUGGGCCCGCGUCUGAUUAGCUGGUUGGCAGGGUAACGGCCUACCAAGGCAACGAUCAGUAGCCGGUCUGAGAGGAUGAACGGCCACAUUGGAACUGAGACACGGUACAAACUCCUACGGGAGGCAGCAGUGGGGAAUAUUGCACAAUGGGGGAAACCCUGAUGCAGCAACGCCGCGUGAGUGAAGAAGUAUUUCGGUAUGUAAAGCUCUAUCAGCAGGGAAGAUAAUGACGGUACCUGACUAAGAAGCUCCGGCUAAAUACGUG